rnacentral:tRNA from 1 species
GCAUGGCUGGCUCAGUCGGAGAGCCUGGGACUCUUGAUCUCAGGGUUGUGAGUUCGAGCUCCACGUUGGGUA